GAUGAACGCUGGCGGCAUGCCUAAUACAUGCAAGUCGAGCGAAGCGGGGACGGGUGAGUAACACCUGGAUAACCUCCUAUAAGACUGGGAAAACUUCGGGAAACCGGACCUAAACCGGAUACUUAUCGAUGGAGCCGCGCUGCAUUAGCUAGUUGGUAAGGUAACGGCUUACCAAGGCAACGAUGCCUAGCCGACCUGAGAGGGUGAUCGGCCACACUGGAACUGAGACACGGUCCAGACUCCUACGGGAGGCAGCAGUAGGGAAUGUUCCACAAUGGGCGAAAGCCUGACGGAGCAACGCCGCGUGAGUGAUGAAGGUCUUCGGAUCGUAAAACUCUGUUAGUAGGGAAGCGGUACCUACACAGAAAGCAACGGCUAACUACGUGCCAGCAGCCGCGGUAAUAC
rnacentral:rRNA from 1 species